rnacentral:Y_RNA from 1 species
GGUUGGUCCAAGUGUACUGCUGUUUACAACUAAACUGAUCACAAUCAGUUACAGAUUUCUUUUUUCCUUCUCUGUUCCUAUUGCUUCACUUGACUAGCCUUUU